AUUGAACGCUGGCGGCAUGCCUUACACAUGCAAGUCGAACGGCAGCGGGGGAGAAGCUUGCUUUUCCUGCCGGCGAGUGGCGAACGGGUGAGUAAUACAUCGGAACGUGCCCUGUAGUGGGGGAUAACUAGUCGAAAGAUUAGCUAAUACCGCAUACGACCUGAGGGUGAAAGUGGGGGACCGCAAGGCCUCAUGCUAUAGGAGCGGCCGAUGUCUGAUUAACUAGUUGGUGGGGUAAAGGCCUACCAAGGCGACGAUCAGUAGCUGGUCUGAGAGGACGAUCAGCCACACUGGGACUGAGACACGGCCCAGACUCCUACGGGAGGCAGCAGUGGGGAAUUUUGGACAAUGGGCGAAAGCCUGAUCCAGCAACGCCGCGUGUGUGAAGAAGGCCUUCGGGUUGUAAAGCACUUUUGUCCGGAAAGAAAUGGCUCUGGUUAAUACCUGGGGUCGAUGACGGUACCGGAAGAAUAAGGACCGGCUAACUACGUGCCAGCCGCCGCAGUAA
rnacentral:rRNA from 1 species